CACGCCGUAAACGAUGAGCACUAGGUGUCGGGGUCGCAAGACUUCGGUGCCGCAGUUAACGCAUUAAGUGCUCCGCCUGGGGAGUACGCACGCAAGUGUGAAACUCAAAGGAAUUGACGGGGACCCGCACAAGCAGCGGAGCAUGUGGUUUAAUUCGAAGCAACGCGAAGAACCUUACCAAGGCUUGACAUCCCUCUGACAGACCCAUAACGGGGUUCUUCUUCGGACAGAGGAGACAGGUGG
rnacentral:rRNA from 1 species